CAGCUGUGAGGGAGAAGUACGCGGGGCUUUCGUGGCUCGUCUGGUCGAGUUGUCCAAUGAAAAAAAAAAAGGCAUCAGGAAAAGAUAUAGAGAGCUCUGACCAAGACGGUUAUUUCCGUUGGAUUUAGGGACCACUCUGAUUUUCAUUAACAAUUGACCAGAAAGACCAGUUUUUCUGGAUAUCUUAUUUUGGUGUUUUUGGUUUUUGGAGAUCUUUAAUAAGAUAUUACACAGCUGGACAUUGCAUAACAGGGUGGGGAGAACAGAAGGAUUUUGUUGGAUCUGAAGACUGUAGUGGAGGAGGUGCAGCUAGAGGUGAAGAGAGAGGAGUCGAAGAGGAGCGAGCUACAGCUGCAGUACACUAAGGACAGAUGUGCCUGGGAACUGGAGAGAGCUGAGCUGAAAUGCAGAAUCGCACAGGCUACCAGGGCCUACCACCAUGCAUCCUGUGUCUUCGAGCUACCAGGAGUUACCACCAAGCAUCCUGUGUCUUCGGGGCUACCAGGGCCUACCACCAAGCAUCCUGUGUUUUCGAGCUACCAGGAGUUACCACCAAGCAUCCUGUGUCUCGAAGGCUACCAGGGAUUACCACUAAGCAUCCUGUUCUUUGAGGCUACCAGGGCCUACCACCAAGCAUCCUAGUGUCUUCGGGGCUACCAGGGCCUACCACCAAGCAUCCUGUGUCUUCGAGCUACCAGGGCCUACCACCAAGCAUCCUGUGUCUUCGAGCUACCAGGAGUUACCACCAAGCAUCCUGUGUCUUCAGGCUACCAGGAGUUACCACCAAGCAUCCUGUGGUCUUCAGGCUACCAGGGCCUACCACCAAGCAUCCUG
rnacentral:lncRNA from 1 species